rnacentral:lncRNA from 1 species
ACAAGGCUUGGAAGAAUAAGUAAAUGACAACGAAAGUAAUAACUAGUAAAUUGAUGUUGGUUAUGUUUAUAUGUCAGUGAAUUCGAAGAUGAGAAGAAUAGUAUGUUAAAAAAAAGAAAGAAAAAAAAACUCACCUAAUUGUUCCUCGAAGGAUGGGAGAACUGCAUCUUAAUUUGCCUCUUCAAAGUUCCUUUGUGUAAAUUGGACCGAGUAGCUUUUUCAAGCGGCUUCCAUCUCCCUAAAUUAAAUGUUAAAGCUAGACCACCACACAAUGUACUAAAUAGUCUACUCUGUCAACUAGGAAGCGGUCUUGCAUGUGUCUGCUGGGGAAAAAAAAAAGAAGUCCAAACCAAUCAUAGACUUUGCUUAGAUUUCACUAAGUUGGUCCAGGAAAAUCUUGCCUUCUUGAAAGCCUCGCCUGUCAGUAGAUCAUUGGACCAAAACUUCACACUUGGAUCAUUUGCGUAUAUGUGUUACCAAAAACGUUUUAUUAACUGAAAAAUAUCACUCAAAAGUCCCUCAGUUGGCGUUUGGUAUUCUUAUUGCUCCCUCUGAAUUGGUAUCACGAGAUGUACAGCAUUAUAAAGUGAACAGUGCAAGACAGCUGAGUGA